rnacentral:tRNA from 1 species
GCUGUAGCUCAGUGACAGAGCAACUGCUUUGCAUGCAGAAGGUCCCGGGUUCAACCCCUGGUGUCUCCU